rnacentral:rRNA from 1 species
AGCGAACGCUGGCGGCAGGCUUAACACAUGCAAGUCGAGCGGGCACUUCGGUGUCAGCGGCAGACGGGUGAGUAACACGUGGGAACGUACCCUUCGGUUCGGAAUAACGCUGGGAAACUAGCGCUAAUACCGGAUACGCCCUUUUGGGGAAAGGUUUACUGCCGAAGGAUCGGCCCGCGUCUGAUUAGCUAGUUGGGGGGGUAAUGGCCUACCAAGGCGACGAUCAGUAGCUGGUCUGAGAGGAUGAUCAGCCACACUGGGACUGAGACACGGCCCAGACUCCUACGGGAAGCAGCAGUGGGGAAUAUUGGACAAUGGGCGCAAGCCUGAUCCAGCCAUGCCGCGUGAGUGAUGAAGGCCUUAGGGUUGUAAAGCUCUUUUGUCCGGGACGAUAAUGACGGUACCGGAAGAAUAAGCCCCGGCUAACUUCGUG